rnacentral:lncRNA from 1 species
UCCUCAUCGCAAAGUCCAUACUGACAACUCCAAGUUUGUGAUGUCUUCAAACUGUUUAACGGCUAAUCUUUUGGUGAAGAUAUUCGCAAAUUAAGCUGGUCCUUUGUAGAAAGUGAGGGCAAAUCAACCUCUUUAUCUAUAAUUUCAUCUGUUGGUAUCAUUUUUUACUCAUCUAAAAUAUCCCAUAAAUCUUAGCCUUUCAAACAAGACUUGAUAAGAGUCUUUCAAUAUGGAU